CAGGAUGUCCACUGUGAGACACACACAGGGUGGAGCAGGGAGUGUUGUGGGUCCUUCCCACCAGGCCACCCAUCCCAUUCCCAGUGCCAGAGUGGUGCUGACCUCUGCAGUGGGAGGAUGGGGAUCCCCAGCCUCAUCCCAGGGCCCCUGAAGGGGUCAGAGGCCAAGGGUAGAGUCAUUCUCUGGUGUAACCACCAGGUGGUGUCAGUGAGCUAAAUUUUGGUCGAUUCUUCAAGGUGCUGAAGUGAGGCGGGCCUGAGACAUGCCCCAGUGCAGGGGCCUUGCCUGCCUGCGCAGGAGGUUAACCUGGGAGCUUUAAAACAUACCCUGGCCUGGGAUCCAUCCCAGGAGAGUUCAGUUUGGUUGGUCUGCUGUGAGGCCAGCAUGGGUCUUGUUUUUCAAAUUCCCCAGCUGUAACUAAGGCUGAGAACCACAUCCCAUAUGCAGGGUCUCCACCUUCAGUGACCCUCAGAGGCCCCUGGGCCCCUUGCUAAGCUGGGCCCACUCCAGGGUCUCUGAUUCCAGGUCUGGAUGUCUGACAGCUCCCAGAGGCUGGGACCUCACUGGGGACCAGCUGCCCUAGUCUCUUGCUCUUUCUCUUUGUUAUAACAGCUUUAUUGAGGUACGGUUCACUCACCAUGCGAUGCACAUAUUUAUAGUCUACCAUUUUAUGGUUUUUAGUACAUUCACAGAAUUGUGCAGCCAUCACUAUCAAGUUUAGAACAUUUUCAGAACCCCAGAAAGAAACCUCCUACCUGCUGGCAGUCUCUUCUCCGCCAGCCCCACAUCUCCAGUCUACUUUGAGCCUAUGUGGA
rnacentral:lncRNA from 1 species